UCCCCCUUGGAGAUGACCCCUCUGAUCUUGACCAAGAAGCAUUGUGAGACACUGGAUUAUUGUAUUAAUUAUUGGCUUGGACCAACUCGUGGGGGGGGGGCAGGGAAUGGGACAGGUCAAAUUUCAUGAAGGUGAGGUGAUGCCCUACCCCAUACCCCAGCCCCUGUGAGCCUCAUUGGGAGACCCUGGAGAAGCUGUCAGUCAAGACCAGCCUGGGGGUGCUGCCCCGUUCCACACCUCAGAGACCUUAACCCAGUAUGGUAUAAACUGGAGUAUUAUCAGAUUAAUGAUCCACAGGAGAGAGCCUCUUAUUUAUGAUUGAUGCAAACUACGUAAAGUUCUUGCAAAUGUUGAUCUGCAGUCAGAAGCUGUGAAUUAAAAAAAAUCACGGUGAAACAUGUCACUGUCUAUCUAUCAGAUAUUUUCCGGAAACAGUUACUAGAAACUCUGUUAACUGACAUUUCCUUACUCUCUUGAUGAUAGACUUUAAAACUGGAUCUCGGGCUAAUUUUAAGCAGAGGGUAAGAUGCAAAAAAAAUUUCUGGACAUUUUUUAUUAGUAUCUUGCUGUGUGACUUUUAGUUAAGAAAUAUACUUCCUGGUGGGUCUAGUGCCUAUUGGUGUCAGUAGAGGAACUAUGAUCCACUACACUAUAUUUUUAAUAUAACUUCAGCUCAUAAUAUCUCUGUGUGCAUAAAAUAGGUUUAACAUUUACCGCUUUACUAUGCUCAUCGAUUGCUGUUGUCUCGCAGAUACUGAGGCAUACACUUGGACAUAAGGAUGCAGAAUUGCAAAGUAUUACUGUGGGAACUGGAUUUCUUAAUGAAAGCUUAUUGCUGUAUGGAGCUCAGCAAUUUUCACCUCUGAGAAUCAUGAUCUUCUUAAAGAGAUGUUUUUCAAGCCCUUGAAUCUACUGCCAUGAUUCAUGCAAACUUAAGAGGUCAGAGUGCAAUAAUUUCACUCCUCCUUCUACAAAUGUGUCAUGACUUGAGGGAGGUACAUAAUGACAUUAACAAUAGUUCCUGGUUUCUUACUCCUGGAAUGGACUACUUCUGAAAGGAAGACUGCCCACAGUGUUUACAAGCUACCUUGCUCCUGAUAUGCCUUUCUUUUUAGAAGAGGUGUAUGUUUAGGUGGACCUGAAAUUAUGAGAAAGCAAUGCAUCCCUCAGCAAGCAGAAGCAGAAGUAAAGCCCAUACUUAUGGUAUAAAUUAGGAAGCAAAUAAGACCUGCAGUUCUUCAGUGAAAGCAUGGAAUGUGCUAUGAAUCAGGGUAACACCUGAGACAGAAGAUGAGCAGUGAUUCCCUAAGGAAAAAGCAGGAUUUCUGUUUUCUCCUGGAAUGGGACUCUGAUAUGGGACCAACUACAAAUUUGUGGCAAGUGUGGCUAUGGUCUUGCUGGGUGGAACUGGUAAAAGGUGAAAGGCAGGAACCUGUAAUUUCAGAGUAACAGUGAAAAUCCUGUGAUAAGCAGGAUUAAAACUGGCUUCCAGCUGCCUGACUAACAUGAGGCCCUUGGAAGAGACCAUCAGGGAGUUUCCCAGCAGUGACUGUGGAAAACUGAGAUUUGAUCAAGACUCUGGAAAAAAAGCUUGGAUCCACACUCAGUAUCUGAUGACACAUUAAGUCCCUUCUACUGAAAGACAAAGAUCACAUGAACUGUAAAGGAAAUGUUGGUAUCUGGAGAUGGUGUAAUUUUGGUUGCUGGAACAAACAUUUGUUUGGAUUUCUCUUCGUGGGGAAUGAUGUAGUUCUCAUCCCUAUGUUUGAAGACUCACUUCAGUUUUCUUCGCCACAGGAAGAACAAUGGUAAAGACAAUUCAGUGCAUGGAGAUGAAGAAAGGAAUUUCUCUAAGAAACAGUUUUAAUUGUUAUGGUAGUCUGUUAAUCACUUAAUUUGAUUUUUAGGGUUAAACCUCUCUUUAAAGGAUUGUAAAACAUGCAGUCACCACACAAACUUGUGCCACUGUGGUUUAGCUAGUAACUGUGUUACUGCUGAGAAGAAAAAUCUAAGAAAUACAUUCAAGAUUUUUAAAGUUUUUUACAUAGAAGGAAAUUUUUAGGGUUUCACAUAUGCCUUGAACUCUUCUUCUACUGAAUAUUGCUAGACACCUUUCUUUGACAAAUUUUUAGAGAUGACAAGGUUUAGUACAAGGCUGAAUGUUGUCAGAUGAACCCCUGUAGACUUGCUGACUUGCAGCUGAACACUAAUGCUCUUUUACUACAGCUUUUUGUUCUGAGAAUCCUUUUUCAUUAGACUGCUUGAGAAAUUCUCAAAUAAAAAAGUGCCUACAAUACAACAUAUAAACCUGAAAUCUCAACUUAAGCAAUUGGAGUAUAUAAUAGUAAAAAUUGUCCUUUAAAAUAGGAAGUGGAAGUUUCAACCUUUAGAAAGGUCUUUGCUGAGAGUAUCAGGUGGAAAGUCAAGUGGAAUCUGCUCAUCAGGGUAGUUGGAUCAAUGUCUUCUGGAUUAGUCUUAUUU